rnacentral:sRNA from 1 species
UAUAUAUAUGACUAAAAAAAGUCAUUAUCCAUAUUUCUCUAAGGAGGAAAUUGAAAAUAUUGUUAUGAAGGAUCCAGGAAGCCUAUACCUCUAACUGCUCUAUACUGGCACAAGAUAUAAUAAUUCAUACUGAUCUUUCUCGGUGAGAUAACAGAUAGUAGGCAAGAGUUCAUUUGAAAAGUGAAACAAAAUACAUUCUGAAUGCCGUUUCUCAUUAUCUACCCAGCUUUAGUGAUGAUAAUGUGUGUGGCGACUGUGCCUAGUGGAUAAUACUUGAAAUAUGCCUAACAAAAAUGUGAAUUUAUUCAUUUUUAUGUAGGUCAAUCAAACAUCUGCCUGGAGACCUCAUUUAAUUCAGGUCAAAAGAGGCAGCAACCGUCCACAUUCAGUAGACUUGACAGCAAACAUCAAAAGACAGCCAUUUUAGAUCCUCCCCAAUGCUCCUCCCUGACACACAUUUUAUUUAGAAAAAAAAAAAAUAGGUUCCCAAGUAAGAGGGAGGCUCCUGAGAGAAGAGAAGCAGAGCAUGGUGUCAUCAGUCAACACAUGUAUUGUUGGGAAUUCAUGUUCUGUCUGCUGGUCUUCCCCAACCGCUGGUUCUCCUGCACCCACCAAAUCGCAGGCCAUUGCUCUGAGAUGCGCCUUCUUUGUUCUCACACAAUUCUCACCCUGCUGAGCAGUGAUGGAAUUUGGGGGUGUGUUUCCAUAGAAUCCUGUGCAUCCAGAGACCAUGGGAGGAGAUUAGGUUCUGUCUCUGAGCUAGGAUACUGCUUUGUCAGAUCACUUGCUAUGGAAUUUGAUUUUUCAUAGGCAGUCCCACCUGGAAUCACAGACUCCUUGCAUAUCAGAAUUAUUUAGCUCUUGCUGACAGCAGCCAUUCAUUCCCUAGGAAUGGUGCCUCUGGCCUUUGGAGAGACCCUCACCUGAGUCUGAUUUUCUUGUUUGCUUUAGUCUCCAUUCUCUUUCCUCCUGGUGUUUUAUGCUUUUACUUUUUUUAAUUGUUCCCUUGCUUAUUUAUGCUCUCUUACUUUUAUUUGACUCUCAUUUUUCUUCAGAGCAAUAGUGCUUUGAGCUUUUUCAGUCCUUUGUCUCCUAUACCUAGGUCAUUAAUUAUUUCAUAGAUGAAAAAAAAAUGGAGUUAAAGGAUUCUCUGGCUUUGGCGUGAUACUUCUUUCUUGGAACAAAAUGGAUAGGAAGAAGGAAUGGCUUGAAAGAAACAUGUGAGAGGACUUAGAAGGGUCAGAUAGAAAGGUCUAGGAAGGCUUCACAAUAUGGGUGUACUAUGCAGGCUUUAUACUUCUUCUUGGCAUGCUAAAGAGAACUAGGUGCCUAUGGGAAGGCAGAAACAGGUGUCUAUCACUAGAACACAGCUCUGUGGGAAAGGCUCACUCUGUUUACUUGUAAAACUCUUGAGUAGGCCCAACACAGCAGCUGUGCAACAGAUGAGUGCUGGUUUCCUGGCUGAAGGAGCAUGUCUCAUCUCUUACUCGGCUUGAAAAUGGUCCUCGUUUCAAUGGUAGGCUUCAGAGUGGGCCUAAAAGGGAAGUGAGUGGAGGCCUGAAGCUUUGAUAAACGUAAUGAAUACUUUCUGGCUUUGAAAAUGUAGCCUGAGAUGUGCCGUGGUGACACACCUCUUUGAUCCUAGCACUGGAGAAACAAAGGCAGGAGGAUCUCUGUGAGUUCCAGGCCAUUCUGGUCUACAGAGUGAGUUCUAGGACAGCCAGGGCUACCUGGAGAAACCAUGUCUUGGAGAGGAGUAAAGGAAUCUUAAAUAUGUGUUUUCUCCAAGGGGUCAUCUAAGGACUGAGCUCUCUGACAAAUACCUAAAAGUGUGACAGUGGUGGUGAAAAUUGGAGAUUAAUAUCCUAGAGGGCACAGUCCUGACUGGUUCAUUGUGGAUAGGUCCAUGAGUGCCAUGGGUCAGCUCCUUAGCAGUGUGUGUGACAAGAUCCCUGAACUCCUGUCUCCGUUUCAGGGAUGUAUCUACUCUUUGCUUCCAUCCACACAUGUGCUGAAGAUAGGACUGUGUCUAGUGGGAAGCCUAGCUCAUAAUGAAGUCAUUUAUCCAACUUGAACCCAAGUAUGGGAAAUAUGUUCAGAAUACAUAUAUUGAUAGCCACAUGGGUGCCAAUUAGUAAUAACGUGUUUAAAUACAUAUCAAUACAGCGUCCCAAAGGUAUGGUAUAGGUUUUCAAAGGGACUAUGCUGUUAUAUGAAGGUGAAUAUUUGACCUUAUAACCUUUAACCCAUUCCUUCUAAUGAACUAGCUAUAACAAAUAAGUUCGAAGUUAAAAAAAGUUCUCAGGAAAAGUAUUUCAUCCCAUUUAUUGGGAAUUUGGCUGUGAAGUGUUGUAUGUCCUCAAGUUUAGCAGUGUACUGGGCAACAGACUGUCACCAACAAAUUAACAGUGAUUUUCAAAAACGCCCAUUUUGAUGCCUAGAAGACACGAUUAGAUGAUAAGGUAAUACUAAAGCUAUCACUUCAGUUUCUACUUUGGAAAAAGGGAUACAAAUACUGAGGCUCCAUUUUCCAGGAGUAUUUCUAAACAAAUCAGGCAUGAAAAGGGAUAUUCAAUGAAAAUGUUUAACAAUGUUUGUAUCUAGACAUUUUUAGUUGAUCUUGCCUUAAUCCUUAAGUAACUGUUCAGUUAUUUCAGAGUCUAUUAAAUAGUCAAAUUACACUGAACAAAUUCCAGGAUAUAAAAAUAUUUCUUUCACAGGAUCUAAGAGGCCAAUAAGUAGUCAAUGGACACAUGUGCUCAAAAUUCUUCUCGUAAAAUCCCACCAGUAUGUACAACUUUUAAUCUCUAGUUUCCCUCAGUGCCAUAAUGAAAUACCAUUUGCUGAGAUCUACUUUGAUCUGUCACCCUCAACUUAGUUGUCUUUUAUGAAUUUUGGAGUUAGUAGGUUUUUGAUUAUUUAGAUUUUGUUACUUGAGCUUCACAUUAGCUUAUUUUUAUCCAUAUUCUCCUUCAUCUAUCUUAAAAAGGUAGCUUAAAUGACAUAAUUGUCACCAAAGGCUAUCUUCUAUAACUGUCCUGACUGUAACGGGCAGGGAGUCGAGGUGUGCUUAGCCACUUUUUGGUCAGGUGACACACUUGUACUUUUAGAGAUUAUAGGCUGUACUCACAGGUCCACCGUAGCCAUAUCCUUCCCACAAUGCAACACUUGGACAGCCAGUGGUGCUUUAAAAAAUGAUACAUGAUUGCAUUUAUUUAAAACUGUCUAAAUAGCAACUAUAGAAAGGAUUAACACUAAAAUGGGCCUUUUCGUUAGUUAAAUGAAAUCAAUUAUCUUCCGAUUUCCCACAGGCUGUGAUUUACUGUUAUUGAAUUCUGAUCAUGAUUGAAAAGCCAUUUUCUUCUUUGAUUGAAACAUCUCUCUGCAGUGAAGAAGCCAAAAGGAAGUCCUAUUCUAAAUCUACAUUUGCUACAACAGGACCCUGAGAGCCUGACAUCCACAACUACUGAAAACAGUGAGUCAGUGAGAACUUCAGUACAAAGCAAGACUGAGCUCACCACACUUAAAUUAUUCAUCUCUGUAUCUGGUGAACUGUCCAUCUCUUCCAGUCAGCCUUCCUACACAGUGUUUCUCCUGGAAGCCCACAGGUACCUAAAAGCUUCUUGAAGACUGCUUUUGAUUUCUCACUAUACAUGGCAUUAUUAGCUACAACCUCAAGCACAUUCAAGCUUCUGUAUGGUCACUUAGACACAAAGCAGAGCAUCUGUGUACCUGUGGCAUGAUGAGAUGAUGGGGCAACUGGCUUCUAUGUACACUGAAUUACAUCAGUAUUUGUCACGAUUAUUCCCAACCACCAGUAAAAAUUCAUGAAGUGCUAUAUAUGAUAAGUAUAAUAUGUGAAAUAUACCUAGCUAUUUUGCUAGUAGAAAUUAAAUAAAAGUAUGAGUCCUUCUGUAUUACUCUACAUCCCAAGUCCAUAUGGUUCCUCUUUUGUGAAAUCUACUUCAGUAAAUAUGGGAUAUUUUACCUAAUUCCUGUAUCUCCUAGCUAGCGAUUCUUCAAGACUUUAUGAGAAUGCUGAUGUUACAUGGUGUAAAAUAUUUACACAAGUAAUAAUUCCUUUCUUUAAGAAUUAAAAUUAGAAAUUUAAAGUCCUGUUUUUAAAAAGUACCUUGUUUCAUGAGCAUUUUGAUUGGAAAAAAAAAAUCUCUAUUCAUAUCACCAGCUUUCUACAUGUUUCCUCUUUGUCAAUUAAAUAUAAUCAAUUUUAAUUAUAUAUCUCUUCAGUAAAAAUAACAGCACUGAAUUGUAGUAAAACAUAUUUGAUACUGAAAUUGGAGAUUUUAUUAUUUUAAAUAUUUAUCACUUUAAACCUGUUCUGUCAAUAUUUUUUCAAGCUACAAUGAGCACAACGGAGAAGUUGGCUAGGCUGUUGAUAUCAGCAUGCAAAAGGCUCCAGAGAGCUUGAAGUAAUUGCUCUGCAGCUCAUGGUAUGUAUGGAUUGAUAUGCACAUAUGCACAUGAAUGUAAAGUGUUUAAUCAGAGAUGGAGACAGGCCAGCUGUAUACUGGUAAGUUGUUUAUUUUCAAAGCUGCUCAAUCACAGAAAAUUGCCUACACCCGGGACUGUAGUAUAGACUGGAAUAGAUUAAAUAUGCUCAGAGUACUGUCUACAGGAGCUUUUUCUGCACUUCACCUUUCAGGAUAGGGUUUCUGUGUCUAGAGAAGUGGUCCAACCUUUCCAACACCAUAACCCUUUAAUACAGUUGUUCAUGCUGUGGUGACCUUCAACCACAAUACCAUGUAAUACCAUAUGGUGUUUCAUAACUGUAAUUUUGCUAGUGUUAUGAACUGUAAGGUAAAUAUCUGAUAUGCAGGAUAUCUGAAAUGCAACCCGUGAAAGGUGGUUGCUCAACACCCUCAAAGAGUUGCAAGUCACAGGUUGAGAACCACGGGUUUAGACCUGCCAUGUGCUUCUCUUUACAUAUGUCAUCUCCUCAUUUAUCUCUGGCCCACUGAUAUGUUAUUUGUGGAGUCCCUACUGUUUGUGGAUGUUAUGUAUCGGGGUAUAUAUCUUAUUAUAGUUUCUAUCACCUUCUAGGAUGUCUAGGCAGAGACAUUGAAAACAUUUGAAAUAUUAUAAAUGAAUACACAAAGACAAAGAAAAUUAGCAGAAAGUGGUGUCUUUCAACGAGUGUCCAAAUGGCUAAAUUUGGAAAGCCACAUUUUACUAUGUACUAUACAUGACUAGGAUGAGGAAAAUCCCAUGCAGAACUGUACAAGUCUCUCACAGCCCAUUUCUGAAUGGCAUGUGGAGAAGUCUGUACCAUAUGUGGACGUCUUGGCUUCUUAUUUAUCUGAACUCUCUUUCCUCGGACUACAGAAGAGGCUCAAACUUCAGGGACCUUGACUAGCAUUGGUACUUCCUGAAGUACUGGCCUAGUUAGGGACAUUGGCCUAACAUAGCACCCAUUCAUUUCUUGCUCUUUUGAGAGUUCAUCACAUGUCAUUAUGCUACUUUGUCUUCAAGGACCUAGAUUUCCAAAUCUCUUUCCUUGAGAGUUUUAAUGGAAUCCUCCUGCGCACCUGGUUAGGAACGUGCAAGGAGGACACUUGGCACAGCGUGCAGGUGUUGAGGGUUCAGAUCUGGAAAUAGGUACACAGAUUCUUUCCCAUUCCAUAGGUCCAUACAUCAGGGGUGCUCAAGAUAAAGUCUCUGAGAUGAGUCAGUGGAUGUGCCCAAGAAAAGGAAAAGCAUCCUAGUAGCAAGCACUGUAAUUCUCAUUCAUAACUGGAAACAUUUCCAAAUAUAUCUGGGUUUUCAGUAAAACUACCCAAACGCUGCACUCUUCAGGAGUUCUGUUAAUAUGUGUGUGCCACUUUCAAGCCUAGAAAAGACAACGGGAGAGGAAAGAGGACAUGUACAAACAGACCAAAUAAACUAUGGUGCUGAGUCAUUAGGGGCAAGGUGGAGUAAAGAUACUGGAGGGAAGGUCCCUAUAGGUUGAUAGCUAUGGAAAAACAUUUUAUAAAUAUGCUCAUGAUUAUUCAUGUAUAUCAGUAGCAAUGUGUGAGUCUACACAUUUCCCCAGGGGUUGUAUCCUAUCUUCAGAAAAACAUGGUGGUGUUCUCCAGAUGAGAAAACAGCAGCAGAAUGAGCUUCAACUCGCACUCAGAAGCAGUUCUUUAUUCCCUUCCAUUCUGGCGCCUCCAAGUCUAAUAUUUCUCCUUGGGUCCUUUCUUCCUUUCUGUGUAUGGAAGAAAAACUGUGUCCCCUAAAUGCAUUCUCACAGGGUUAAAACAGCAGCCAGAGGUUCUUAAAAGGACUCAUGGGUGGUUGGAAUCUUAAAGGCAAGCAGGCAAUAAAGGUGUCUUGUGGUUUGGUUUUCAUGUCUCAUCUUUGCCUCACUCAGGUCAUGGUGAUCGUAGGGUCUUCAAAACAACUGGUAGCACUGAAAAUUUCCCAGACAUCUGGA